CAACCAUGGUACCUAUAACUAGCUAGCCAACCAUGGUACCUAUAACUAGCUAGCCAACCAUGGUACCUAUAACUAGCUAGCCAACCAAGGUACCUAUAACUAGCUAGCCAACCAAGGUACCUAUAACUAGCUAGCCAACCAUGGUACCUAACUAACUCACCAACCAAGGUACCUAUAACUAGCUAGCCAACCAAGGUACCUAACUAACUAGCCAACCAAGGUACCUAACUUACUAGCCAACCAUGGUAUCUAUAACUAGCUAGCCAACCAAGGUACCUAACUUACUAGCCAACCAUGGUACCUAACUUACUAGCCAACCAUGGUACCUAACUAACUAGCCAACCAAGGUACCUAACUAACUAGCCAACCAAGGUACAUAACUAACUAGCCAACCUUAGCUUAUGUAGCCAACUAGCCAACCAAGGUACCUAACUUACUAGCCAGCCAACCAUGGUACCUAUAACUAGCUAGCCAACCAUGGUACCUAUAACUAGCUAGCCAACCAAGGUACCUAACUAACUAGCCAACCAAGGUACCUAACUUACUAGCCAACCAUGGUAUCUAUAACUAGCUAGCCAACCAAGGUACCUAACUUACUAGCCAACCAUGGUACCUAACUUACUAGCCAACCAUGGUACCUAACUAACUAGCCAACCAAGGUACCUAACUAACUAGCCAACCAAGGUACAUAACUAACUAGCCAACCAUGGUACCUAACUUACUAGCCAACCAAGGUACAUAACUAACUAGCCAACCUUAGCUUAUGUAGCCAACUAGCCAACCAAGGUACCUAACUUACUAGCCAGCCAACCAUGGUACCUAUAACUAGCUAGCCAACCAUGGUACCUAUAACUAGCUAGCCAACCAAGGUAUCUAUAACUAGCUAGCCAACCAAGGUAACUAACUAACUCGCCAACCAAGGUACCUAUAACUAGCUAGCCAACCAUGGUACCUAACUAGCUAGCCAACCAAGGUACCUAUAACUAGCUAGCCAACCAUGGUACCUAUAACUAGCUAGCCAACCAAGGUACCUAACUAACUCGCCAACCAAGGUACCUAUAACUAGCUAGCCAACCAUGGUACCUAACUAACUCACCAACCAAGGUACCUAUAACUAGCUAGCCAACCAAGGUACCUAACUUACUAGCCAGCCAACCAUGGUACCUAUAACUAGCUAGCCAACCAUGGUACCUAUAACUAGCUAGCCAACCAAGGUACAUAUAACUAGCUAGCCAACCAAGGUACCUAUAACUAGCUAGCCAACCAAGGUAACUAACUAACUCGCCAACCAAGGUACCUAUAACUAGCUAGCCAACCAUGGUACCUAACUAGCUAGCCAACCAAGGUACCUAUAACUAGCUAGCCAACCAUGGUACCUAUAACUAGCUAGCCAACCAUGGUACCUAUAACUAGCUAGCCAACCAUGGUACCUAUAACUAGCUAGCCAACCAAGGUACCUAUAACUAGCUAGCCAACCAAGGUACCUAACUAACUCGCCAACCAAGGUACCUAUAACUAGCUAGCCAACCAUGGUACCUAACUAACUCACCAACCAAGGUACCUAUAACUAGCUAGCCAACCAAGGUACCUAACUUACUAGCCAGCCAACCAUGGUACCUAUAAC